CCAUGUCGCCCCCCUGACUCCUUUCUAUGUGUUUUCGCCGAGCUUUCCCCCCCGAAGAAGCCGUGAGGUUGGGGCGAGAGGAGGGGGAGAAAGAGACAGCUGUUUGGUCCUGGCUGGGUUUAGGCGGAACAAUUCACCCAUGAGAGAAGGGCGUCCAGGGCGCUGAACUACAUCGGAUGCAUCAAAACCCCUCACUGAGCACAUCUGCAUAAAUGAGUGUAGAGCUGCAGAUUCUGCACAAGCUGAGCUCAGUAUGAGUUCCCGAUCAGCAGCUCAGUCAAGCAAAAAUCGAUGUCGAAGUUUUCACUGGGUGGCCAUCGCUUCUCCUUCUAGCACUGGAUGAUCUCAGAGACUUCAGUGCAAACUAACCAGAAGUUAGUUGGUGGGUUUUGGGGGGGGUGGGUAGGUGGGGGGGGGGGGACAACAACCAGUCAGCCCAUUACACACACCACCCCUGCAGAACGUGGUGUCACAGACAUCUGUAUAAGAGUUGAGAGGAAAAUCAAUAAAGAGUCCGAGCAAUGGUGGCUUACAUUAGUGACCCUGCUUAAUGCAACUCACAGGGGGAAUAUGGGAGCUUUAAAAAUCUGUCGUCAAUGUCUUUAUCUCUGGAUCUUUGUGUUAAAUUACCUUUAAGUAAAAAAAAAGUGAGAGAAUAACUGUAAGGUGUGUUGUUCCAUUAUUGUUAGCCAGACUCUGUUCUCCUACUCUUCUACUCCCUUCUCUUACAUGUAAACUUGUCAUAAUCCUACUUUUUAUUUAACUUUGUUGGCAUCCAAAGUGAAUUAACAUAGAAAACUUUGAAUAUAUACUUUUGUCAUCUAUAAUUGAUGCACUAUUUGCAUAUUUAGGAAACAAAGAUAAAGCCAAAAAUGGAAAACUGUUAGUAAAUAAACAAACAGCACAACUAAGA